rnacentral:rRNA from 1 species
UUGAACGCUGGCGGUAUGCUUAACACAUGCAAGUCGAACGGAAACGAUACUAGCUUGCUAGUAGGCGUCGAGUGGCGGACGGGUGAGUAACGCGUAGGAAUCUGCCUGAUAGUGGGGGAUAGCCCGAAGAAAUUCGGAUUAAUACCGCAUAAUCUAUUCGUAGUAAAGUGGGGGACUUUCGAGCCUCACGCUAUCAGAUGAGCCUGCGUAAGAUUAGCUAGUUGGUAGGGUAAAAGCCUACCAAGGCGACGAUCUUUAGCUGGUCUGAGAGGAUGAUCAGCCACAUCGGGACUGAGACACGGCCCGAACUCCUACGGGAGGCAGCAGUGGGGAAUAUUGGACAAUGGGGGCAACCCUGAUCCAGCAAUACCGCGUGUGUGAAGAAGGCCUGAGGGUUGUAAAGCACUUUCAAUUGUGAAGAAAAGUUAGCGGUUAAUAACCGUUAGCCUUGACGUUAACUUUAGAAGAAGCACCGGCUAACUCCGUGCCAGCAGCCGCGGUAAUACGGAGGGUGCAAGCGUUAAUCGGAAUUACUGGGCGUAAAGCGUGCGUAGGCGGUUUAUUAAGUCAGAUGUGAAAGCCCCGGGCUUAACCUGGGAACUGCAUUUGAAACUGGUCAACUAGAGUAUGGUAGAGGAAAGUGGAAUUUCUGGUGUAGCGGUGAAAUGCGUAGAUAUCAGAAGGAACAUCAAUGGCGAAGGCAGCUUUCUGGACCAAUACUGACGCUGAGGUACGAAAGCGUGGGUAGCAAACAGGAUUAGAUACCCUGGUAGUCCACGCCGUAAACGAUGAUAACUAGCCGUUGGGGGGAUUUACCCUUUAGUGGCGAAGCUAACGCGUUAAGUUAUCCGCCUGGGGAGUACGGCCGCAAGGUUAAAACUCAAAGGAAUUGACGGGGACCCGCACAAGCGGUGGAGCAUGUGGUUUAAUUCGAUGCAACGCGAAGAACCUUACCUGGUCUUGACAUCCUGCGAACUUUCUAGAAAUAGAUUGGUGCCUUCGGGAACGCAGUGACAGGUGCUGCAUGGCUGUCGUCAGCUCGUGUCGUGAGAUGUUGGGUUAAGUCCCGUAACGAGCGCAACCCCUAUCCUUAUUUGCCAGCACAUCAUGGUGGGAACUAUAAGGAGACUGCCGGUGAUAAACCGGAGGAAGGCGGGGACGACGUCAAGUCAUCAUGGCCCUUACGACCAGGGCUACACACGUGCUACAAUGGGAAGGACAAAGAGCCGCGAAGCCGCGAGGUGUAGCUAAUCUCAUAAACCUUUUCGUAGUCCGGAUUGGAGUCUGCAACUCGACUCCAUGAAGUCGGAAUCGCUAGUAAUCGUAGAUCAGAAUGCUACGGUGAAUACGUUCCCGGGUCUUGUACUCACCGC